AUUGAACGCUGGCGGCAGGCUUAACACAUGCAAGUCGAGCGGGGUGAUGGUGCUUGCACUAUCACUUAGCGGCGGACGGGUGAGUAAUGCUUAGGAAUCUGCCUAUUAGUGGGGGACAACAUCUCGAAAGGGAUGCUAAUACCGCAUACGUCCUACGGGAGAAAGCAGGGGAUCUUUAUGACCUUGCGCUAAUAGAUGAGCCUAAGUCGGAUUAGCUAGUUGGUGGGGUAAAGGCCUACCAAGGCGACGAUCUGUAGCGGGUCUGAGAGGAUGAUCCGCCACACUGGGACUGAGACACGGCCCAGACUCCUACGGGAGGCAGCAGUGGGGAAUAUUGGACAAAGGGGGGAACCCUGAUCCAGCCAUGCCGCGUGUGUGAAGAAGGCCUUAUGGUUGUAAAGCACUUUAAGCGAGGAGGAGGCUCUUUUGGUUAAUACCCAGAAUGAGUGGACGUUACUCGCAGAAUAAGCACCGGCUAACUCUGUGCCAGCAGCCGCAGUAACAC
rnacentral:rRNA from 1 species